UCUACAACUAAAACUCAAACCUAAUCUGAAAAAAAACCCCAACGUUGUCAAGCAGCCGCCAGAAAGUCUUGCUCAUGCUCAAUGGGGCUUGGAGAAAAUAGCUCAUACCACUUCAUGUCUGUCUUGAGCUUAGUAUUCUGUAUCUAAUCUCACCACUGUCUUGCUCAAUCCCAUUUCUGACAAACCUUCCAAAACAUCUCCUCCUCCUCCUCAUGCUGAAGAUGAGGAUGAGUCCAAAGGAAGUCCAAGAAUACAUUUGCACCACCUCUUUGUGGUAGCUUCUAUGGUGUUGUGCUUGAUGGGCCUGGAGGUUCUGUGCCAACAGUGACAGAGUAUAUGGUUAAUGGUUCUCUCAGAAAUGCCUUGCAGAAGAAUAAGAAGAAAUGUGUUUGUUUGGCUUUUUGUUCUUUGCAUUAAUUUGAUAAAUCAGAAUGAAUGUUGUAGCUGACUAGUUGGUAUGUAAUUUCCAAUUGUAUUAAUCAAUUGGGUAUUGAAAUUUGUUUGUAUUUGUAUGAAAAUAUGGGAUUGUAUGUUGAAGUUUGUUGCUGGAAUUUUGGAUGAACUUUGAUGAAAAUGUUUAU